GUUCCUGACAGACGAUGAAACCUUCAGCAACGUUUUAAGAUGAUUGGCUCACAGAAAACGGUAUCACCAUAGAUGCUCCCGAUGGUGCCAUUGGGCUCCUCCAAAACCGAGGCCACGGUCGAAAACCUGCUUUUGUUCGGGAAGGUUCCUCACUGAGGGAGAUGGACCGAAGUACCUGAGCGGCUGCCGUGACAACAGCUGUCUGAAUUCUCCUAAUAUGAAGGAAAGGUGGAGACGACUUGAGCUCCAAGUCGUUCGAAGAUUUCAUCGACGAUGAUCCAGCCGGUCCACUCCCACCAUGGUCCAGAGGUUUGCAGGGAGACAUCAUGCGUAACAUGAAAGUGGAGGACCAGAUUAAGUCAAGAGCUGCUGGAGAAGAAAGACCACCUGAGAAGAGCCGAUCGUCCCAGGACGGACAGGAGGGUCAUUCUGAGGAGGAGGGAAGAGUUCAUCCGGAAACGCCAUCCUGGGAUCAGAGCAGUUCGAGUCCGGCUGCGACUUUGGUUCGGUCAGCAAAGAGAGCGUCUGUGGGUCAGCAGAGGUGCAGGGUCGUCGUGUCACGGCGGUCGACCCUCCGGGAAUCACUAAUGAAGUUCUGACUCCCAGAAAGCUGCACCUGUAGAUCACGAAGUCUGCAGUCGAGGCCAGUCCAGGACCCCAUGCCUUUGUCCUGGUGGCCAGAUUAGGCCGAAUCACCAAAGCAGACAUCAAACUGUUUGAGAUACUGCAGAAACUGUUUGGCAGUGAGGCCUGUAAGAACUCCAUGGUGCUUUUCACUCGUGGAUCCGAGCUAAAGGUCAGUCCAUUGAUCAGAAGAUCCGGUCCGACGGUCAUGUGUCAGAUCUGGUCUCCAGGUGUGGUGGUAGAUUCUGUGUGCUAACAGAAGAGAGCAGCUGCCCACCCAGACCCCCUGUCCGCACACUCGUGCACCAAAACCAUAAAUUCAUUCAAUACAAAUCUUUAUUUGCAAAAGUGAAUAUAUCAGUGCAUAUCCAUCAUGGGUUUGUAUGCAGGUAAAUCUGUUUUUC